CCGUGCUAAGCGGGGAGCUAGCGGCACCCUGUACUCGCAAUCCGCUAUAGCGAGGCUGAACUCCCGUCCUAGGGGCGGCGGCUGCAAGGCCUGCCUCAAGGAAUUGGUGUUGACGUUCGGGUCCUACGCAAUAGGAACCUGCGAACCCUGUCAGGUCCGGAAGGAAGCAGCAGUAAGCAGUAAUUCUUGUGUGCCGUAGGGAAGCCUGGGCUGAGCCAUGAACUUGAGUAACGCUUGGGACCGCCGUCACAAAGACGGGUGCACGG
rnacentral:SRP_RNA from 1 species